CAAUCCUUAACAUGUAGAAUGGGGAGGGGGAGAAGGAUAAUCUAGCCCCCAUCCCAGAUCCAGGAUGCUGCUGGACUUGUUUAUGGCAAGCCAGUACCCGAAACCUCGCCCUGGUCCUUAAACCAUCGGUGCUAAAUGGAAUAUAGUUCUAAAUUCCUAGGGGGGAAAUGCAUCCCGACAGUGAUUGAGUUUGGAUGGGAAACAUUUGUCUUUCCAGAUUUUUUUUUUUCCGGGUCAGGAGUGACAUGAGAAACUGCAAGUCGCUUCUGGUGUGAGAGAAUUGGCCGUCUGCAAGGACAAUGCAGGGGACGCCCGGAUGUUUUGAUGUUUUUACCAUCCUUGUGGGAGGCUUCUCUCAUGUCUACGCAUGGAGCUGGAGCUGAUAGAGGGAGCUCAUCCACGCUCUCCCUGGGUCGGAUUCGAACCUGGAAGCCUUCAGGUCAGCGACCCAGCCUUCAAGACUUUAACCCACUACGCCAUCGGGGGCUCCAGCUUUCCAGAUAACCAUCAGCCAUGGUCAUUGGGGCUUCUGGGACAUGAUGCCUAAAGUAUUUAGAAGGCCCUGUCCACAUCCUUAUUCAAGUUGUUGCCUUCGUUUUGUAAUAGCAUCUCUCAGAAAACAAAUGGCUUUGAUAUUUUUGGAUGCGGAAAAAAGUAUUUAACAAUGUAUCUUGGCCGUUUAGUAGGCUGUCAUAGAGAAGAUGCAAUUUGGACUUCAGCAUUCAGCUACUCUGUUUUUGUACCAUUUUGCCAGUUGAAGAAAUGUGGAGGUUUCGAAAACUUGGUCAAAGUUUCAUGUAUUUAUAUAUGUAUAUGUGUGUGUAAAUUCAUUUGGGCCGUGGAAAUAAAGUAUAAAGUUUAA